AACGAACGCUGGCGGCAGGCUUAACACAUGCAAGUCGAGCGCAGGAAGCCGACGGAACCCUUCGGGGGGAAGUCGACGGAAUGAGCGGCGGACGGGUGAGUAACACGUAAGGAACCUGCCCUCAGGUCUGGGAUAACCACGAGAAAUCGGGGCUAAUACCGGAUGGGUCAUCGGACCGCAUGGUCCGAGGAUGAAAGGCGCUUCGGCGUCGCCUGGGGAUGGCUUUGCGGUGCAUUAGCUAGUUGGUGGGGUAAUGGCCCACCAGGGCGACGAUGCAUAGCCGACCUGAGAGGGUGAUCGGCCACACUGGGACUGAGACACGGCCCAGACGCCUACGGGAGGCAGCAGUAGGGAAUCUUCCACAAUGGACGAAAGUCUGAUGGAGCAACGCCGCGUGAACGAUGAAGGCCUUCGGGUCGUAAAGUUCUGCUGUAAGGGAAGAACUAGUGCCGCAGGCAAUGGCGGCACCUUGACGGUACCUUGCGAGAAAGCCACGGCUAACUACGUGCCAGCAGCCGCCGUAAUAC
rnacentral:rRNA from 1 species